rnacentral:rRNA from 1 species
UACAUGGGGUGCAAACGUUUGCUCGGAAUUAUUGGGCGUAAAGCGCGCGUAGGCGGUUACUUAAGUCGGAUGUGAAAGCCCUCGGCUUAACUGAGGAAGUGCACCCGAAACUGAGUAGCUAGAGUACGAAAGAGGGUCGCGGAAUUCCCGGUGUAGAGGUGAAAUUCGUAGAUAUCGGGAGGAACACCGGUGGCGAAGGCGGCGACCUGGGUCGAGACUGACGCUGAGGAGCGAAAGCGUGGGGAGCGAACAGG